GUGCCAGCCGCCGCGGUAAUACGUAGGUGGCAAGCGUUGUCCGGAUUUACUGGGUGUAAAGGGCGUGUAGCCGGGUCGGCAAGUCAGAUGUGAAAUCUGGAGGCUCAACCUCCAAACUGCAUUUGAAACUGUUGGUCUUGAGUAUCGGAGAGGUAAUCGGAAUUCCUAGUGUAGCGGUGAAAUGCGUAGAUAUUAGGAAGAACACCAGUGGCGAAGGCGGAUUACUGGACGACAACUGACGGUGAGGCGCGAAAGACGUGGGGAGGCAAACAGGAUUAGAUACCUCGGUAGUCCACGCUGUAACG
rnacentral:rRNA from 1 species